rnacentral:rRNA from 1 species
UACGAGGGGGGCUAGCGUUGCUCGGAAUCACUGGGCGUAAAGCGCACGUAGGCGGCUUUUUAAGUCAGGGGUGAAAUCCUGGAGCUCAACUCCAGAACUGCCUUUGAUACUGGGAAGCUUGAGUCCGGGAGAGGUGAGUGGAACUCCGAGUGUAGAGGUGAAAUUCGUAGAUAUUCGGAAGAACACCAGUGGCGAAGGCGGCUCACUGGUCCGGUACUGACGCUGAGGUGCGAAAGCGUGGGGAGCAAACAGG